rnacentral:rRNA from 1 species
UACGUAGGGUGCGAGCGUUUAAUCGGAAUUACUGGGCGUAAAGCGUGCGCAGGCGGUCUGUUAAGACCGAUGUGAAAUCCCCGGGCUUAACCGGGGAACUGCGUCUGAUACUGGAUGGCUUGAGUUUGGGAGAGGGACGCGGAAUUCCAGGUGUAGCGGUGAAAUGCGUAGAUAUCUGGAGGAACACCGGUGGCGAAGGCGGC